rnacentral:rRNA from 1 species
CAGCGGCGGACGGGUGCGUAACACGUGGAUAACCUACCCUACCGGAGGGGGAUACCCCGCAGAAAUGCGGGCUAAGACCGCAUACGACCGGUCUCACACCAGGCGAGACCGGGGAAAGGGCUUUCGGGCGCAAGGCCGGGAGUCUGCCGGAGGAGGGGUCCGCGGCCGAUUAGCUAGUUGGCGGGGUAAGAGCCCACCAAGGCGACGAUCGGUAGCUGGUCUGAGAGGAUGAUCAGCCACACUGGGAUUGAGAACGGCCCAGACUCCUACGGGGGGCAGCAGUGAGGAAUCUUCCGCAAUGGGCGCAAGCCUGACGGAGCGACGCCGCGUGCGGGAUGACGCGUUUCGGCGUGUAAACCGCUUUUCUGCGGGACGAACGUGCUGGGCAACCAGCGGCGGUGGACGGUACCGCAGGAAGCAGCCCCGGCUAACUACGUGCCAGCAGCCGCGGUAAUACGUAGGGGGCGAGCGUUGUCCGGAGUUACUGGGCGUAAAGGGUGCGCAGGCGGCCUGGCAAGUGUGCGGUGAAAGCGCCUGGCUUAACUGGGCGAGGGCCGUGCGGACUGCGAGGCUGGAGGCUCGGAGAGGGACGUGGAAUUCCGGGUGGAGCGGUGAAAUGCAUAGAGAUCCGGAAGAACACCGAUGGCGCAGGCAGCGUCCUGGCCGAGACC